UACGUAGGUGGCAAGCGUUGUCCGGAUUUAUUGGGUUUAAAGGGUGCGUAGGCGGUUCUAUAAGUCAGUGGUGAAAUACGGCAGCUCAACUGUCGAGGUGCCAUUGAUACUGUGGAACUUGAGUACAGACGAGGUAGGCGGAAUUGACGGUGUAGCGGUGAAAUGCUUAGAUACCGUCAAGAACACCGAUAGCGAAGGCAGCUUACUAGACUGUAACUGACGCUGAGGCACGAAAGUGUGGGGAUCAAACAGG
rnacentral:rRNA from 1 species